rnacentral:tRNA from 1 species
GGAAAGGCCAUGGCUCAGUGGGAGAGCAUCUGCUUGGCAUGCAGAAGGUCCCAGGUUCAAUCCCGGGCGUCUCCA